rnacentral:rRNA from 1 species
UACGGAGGGUGCAAGCGUUGUCCGGAAUCAUUGGGCGUAAAGCGCGUGUAGGCGGUUCGGUAAGUCGGAUGUGAAAGUUCAGGGCUCAACCCUGGGAUGCCGGUCGAUACUGCCGGACUAGAGUUCGGAAGAGGCGAGUGGAAUUCCCGGUGUAGCGGUGAAAUGCGCAGAUAUCGGGAGGAACACCAAUGGCGAAGGCAGAUCGCUGGGACGUUACUGACGCUGAGACGCGAAAGCGUGGGGAGCAAACAGG